AACGAACGCUGGCGGCAGGCCUAACACAUGCAAGUCGAGCGCCCCGCAAGGGGCGCGGCGGACGGGUGAGUAACGCGUGGGAACGUACCCUUUGCUACGGAAUAGCCUCGGGAAACUGGGAGUAAUACCGUAUGUGUCCUUCGGGAGAAAGAUUUAUCGGCAAGGGAUCGGCCCGCGUUGGAUUAGGUAGUUGGUGGGGUAAUGGCCUACCAAGCCGACGAUCCAUAGCUGGUUUGAGAGGAUGAUCAGCCACACUGGGACUGAGACACGGCCCAGACUCCUACGGGAGGCAGCAGUGGGGAAUCUUAGACAAUGGGCGCAAGCCUGAUCUAGCCAUGCCGCGUGAGCGAUGAAGGCCUUAGGGUUGUAAAGCUCUUUCAGGGGGGAAGAUAAUGACUGUACCCCCAGAAGAAGCCCCGGCUAACUCCGUG
rnacentral:rRNA from 1 species